rnacentral:rRNA from 1 species
UACGUAGGUGACCAGCGUUGUCCGGAUUUACUGGGCGUAAAGAGCGCGCAGGCGGUCGUUCAAGUCGGGUGUGAAAGCCCCCGGCUCAACUGGGGAGGGGCAUUCGAUACUGAUCGACUUGAAGGCAGGAGAGGGAAGCGGAAUUCCCGGUGUAGUGGUGAAAUGCGUAGAUAUCGGGAGGAACACCAGUGGCGAAGGCGACUUCCUGGCCCGUUCUUGACGCUGAGGCGCGAAAGCUAGGGGAGCAAACGGG